rnacentral:rRNA from 1 species
AGGGGAAUAUUGCACAAUGGGCGCAAGCCUGAUGCAGCCAUGCCGCGUGUGUGAAGAAGGCCUUCGGGUUGUAAAGCACUGUCAGCGGGGAGGAAGGCGAUAAGGGUAAUAACCUUGUCGAUUGACGUUACACGCAGAAGAAGCACCGGCUAACUCGGUGCCAGCAGCCGCGGUAAUACGGAGGGUGCAAGCGUUAAUCGGAAUUACUGGGCGUAAAGCGCACGCAGGCGGUCUGUCAAGUCGGAUGUGAAAUUCCCGGGCUCAACCUGGGAACUGCAUUCGAACCUGGCAGGCUAGAGUCUUGUAGAGGGGGGUAGAAUUCUAGGCGUAGCGGUGAAAUGAGUAGAGAUCUGGAGGAAUACCGGUGGCGAAGGCGGCCCCCUGGACAAAGACUGACGCUCUGGUGCGAAAGAGUGGGGAGCAAACAGG